AACGAACGCUGGCGGCAUGCCUAACACAUGCAAGUCGAACGAAGGCUUCGGCCUUAGUGGCGCACGGGUGCGUAACGCGUGGGAAUCUGCCCCUUGCUUCGGAAUAACAGUUAGAAAUGACUGCUAAUACCGGAUGAUGUCGUAAGACCAAAGAUUUAUCGGCAAGGGAUGAGCCCGCGUAGGAUUAGGUAGUUGGUGGGGUAAAGGCCUACCAAGCCGACGAUCCUUAGCUGGUCUGAGAGGAUGAUCAGCCACACUGGGACUGAGACACGGCCCAGACUCCUACGGGAGGCAGCAGUGGGGAAUAUUGGACAAUGGGGGAAACCCUGAUCCAGCAAUGCCGCGUGAGUGAUGAAGGCCUUAGGGUUGUAAAGCUCUUUUACCCGGGAUGAUAAUGACAGUACCGGGAGAAUAAGCUCCGGCUAACUCCGUGCCAGCCGCCGCCGUAAGAC
rnacentral:rRNA from 1 species